ACCUCAAAGCUAGCCUAUAUAUCAACUUCAACUAGACCUAAUAAAUCUAAUUCACACUAUAAUUUUUUUAACCAAAACAUUCUUAACCUUUUAGUAUGGGCGACAGAACAAUAACUUCAGCGCAAUAGCUUAUGUACCGCAAGGGAAAGCUGAAAAAGAAAUGAAAUAAAUUAUUAAAGUACUAAAAAGCAGAGAUUACAUCUCGUACCUUUUGCAUCAUGAUUUAGCUAGAAAAACUAGGCAAAAAGAUCUUAAGUCUAUCCUCCCGAAACUAAACGAGCUACUCCGAAGCAGCAUUAUAGAGCUAACCCGUCUCUGUGGCAAAAGAGUGGGAAGACUUCCGAGUAGCGGUGAAAAGCCUACCGAGUUUAGUGAUAGCUGGUUACCCAAAAAAAGAACUUCAAUUCUGCAUUAAUUUUUUAAUUACCUAGACAAGACUCUCCUUAUCAAAGGAACUCAUAAGAAUUAAUAGUUAUUUAGAAGAGGUACAGCCCUUCUAAACCAAGAUACAACUUUUUAAGAUGGGAAAUGAUCAUAAUUACCAAGGUAAUCCCCUCAGUGGGCCUAAAAGCAGCCACCUGUAAAGCAAGCGUCGCAGCUCCAGCUCAAUAACCAAACCCUUAAUCCCGAUACCCACUCACUACCCUCCUUACUUAUUGGGUUAUUUUAUAAAAAUAUAAAAGAACUUAUGCUAAAAUGAGUAAUAAAGAGAAUAUAUCUCUCCUAACACAAGUGUAUGUCAGAAGAAUUAAAUCACUGAUAAUUAAACGGCCCCAAACUGAGGCUACUAUACUAUUUAAACAUCAACCAGAAAACCCUAUUCUUCCACCCGUUAACCCUACACAGGAGUGUUACCAGGAAAGAUUA
rnacentral:rRNA from 1 species